GCCGGUCCUCGGUAGUGGUCCCCGGGUUCUGCGAGCGGCACCGCCGCCACGCCCCGUGGACUUCGAUCGAAGACCGGC
rfam:Actinophytocola sp. 11-183 contig125, whole genome shotgun sequence.